rnacentral:sRNA from 1 species
CCUCCCACUGAAAUUCCCUGAAUUAUAUAUAAGUCAAAAGAUGAAGAACUGCCUAGAAGAGUGCUUUCCACAAGAUCAUAGGGCAUGAAUGACAGAACAAGGGCUCAAAGCAAGAUUUCUGAACUCUAACGUUAGAGCUCUGGCCACCAAAGCAACAGGAUGUGGAGGAAAGAUGGGCACAGGGUCGGAGUGACUCUCCUGUCAGCACGAGCUCAGACAAGACUGCUUUCUGCGUGCCAGCUUCCUCAGCUGUGCUGGAGGAUCUGCGUGGUAGGUAACUGAAGGGACCCCUGUGAAAGGGUUAUUCGCCCUCUGGAAGGGUCGCAACCCACAGGUUGGGAACUACUGCUCUAAAACAUCUCUCAAGAGCUCUGGCCAGAGCCUGCCCUUCAAGGAAGUCUGGAGAGGUCCCAAGGACUGCACUCAAGCCAUCAUACCUGGAAGCAAGCACUUCUACCCACUGAGCCAUCUCUCCAGCCCAGGCACAGAGUUUAUAAGUGGCAUAUACUCGUUCUUCUGCUGUCCAGCUCCCCACUGCUUUUGACAAUUCUUACAGUUUUUCCAGUUGAAUGAGAAGAUUCACACCUAUGGGGUUGCUAUGAGAACUGAAUGGGUCAGUGCCACCAGGCAGUCGGAGCAGCAGUAAGCAAGCGGUCUUCAUGACUGUGUCCAAGGUGUCACUUCCGACCCAGCCUUGUGGACAAGAGACCUCUCUGGACGCCUCAUUUUGGGGUCAGUUGUAGAAGAAACACAGCAUUCUGAAGGCCUUAGAAUUGCUCCUGAAAUCUCAACCUCUCUAAUAAGGAAAAGAAAUAAGACUUCCUCUGGUGCCCCUUUUUAUGAUGAAACUAUGACAAAGAAAUAGAGACAGUAAUAGACUCACACUGGCACAGAAAGUGGGUCUGUGGUUACCACUGUAGGGUGGGGUCUGGGCCUGGAGAAAGGGCUCAGAGAAUGUGAAUAUAUACUGGGCAUCCUGGACUCUUUGGGAAGCAGCAGAAAGAAGAGGCUUGGGUACUUGACUAUCCCAGCUCCCCACACAGUAUCUGAAGAAAUGGAUGGACAGAGUUCCAAUAUCACCUCCCCGCCAACCCUGCCAUCACUUGCCAUCUAGGUGACAAACGGUGUCAUUCUGAGCCUCAGUUUCCUUGUUUACAAUCAAGUCUUAGAAAAACCAUUAAACAAUCCUUCAUGCAAUUGACAAACAGACUGCAUAAGACUAUUGCAAUGUGCUUAAUUCAGGGGCCCUGGCUUAUACUAGGAAUGCAAUAAACAGUAACGCAUUUA